GGAAUUUUGGACAAUGGGGGCAACCCUGAUCCAGCCAUGCCGCGUGUGUGAAGAAGGCCUUCGGAUUGUAAAGCACUUUAAGUUGGGAGGAAGGGCAUUAACCUAAUACGUUAGUGUUUUGACGUUACCGACAGAAUAAGCACCGGCUAACCCUGUUCCAGCAGCCGCGGUAAUACAGAGGGUGCAAGCGUUAAUCGGAAUUACUGGGCGUAAAGCGCGCGUAGGUGGUUCGUUAAGUUGGAUGUGAAAUCCCCGGGCUCAACCUGGGAACUGCAUUCAAAACUGACGAGCUAGAGUAUGGUAGAGGGUGGCGGAAUUUCCUGUGUAGCGGUGAAAUGCGUAGAUAUAGGAAGGAACACCAGUGGCGAAGGCGACCACCUGGACUGAUACUGACACUGAGGUGCGAAAGCGUGGGGAGCAAAC
rnacentral:rRNA from 1 species